CCCACAGUCAUGAUCACCUUCCAAUUCCAAAAACUGAAACAAGCAUAGGGGUGGAAACUCUGGGGAUAGCAAACUGACAGCAGCAAAGGCUUUUGAAGAGAAACUCCAUAGAAGCAGCAAUAUUUUUAGAGCACAAGGACUGAAGAUAGAGGGAGCUGUGUGAAGCACAUGGAAAGAAAGCAAUGCUAAUAAAGUUAUAAAUAGGAAGAUUUGAAAGAAAGGAGAAACCAAACACAGCUUAAUAAGCACCAAGAUAACAAAGCAUGUUAACAAUAGCAAGACUUACAGCCCAGUAAGAGAAGAUCUAAAGGCAGAAGAAUACAGUACCAAAUCUCCAAGAUCCUCUUGUUCAUUCUUCAUGCAUUUCUGGGGCAAUGAGAUUACUUCCAAUUAGUCUUAAUCUGACUCUAUUGGACAAAAGCUCAUUAAUUGGACACUUCUAGUUUAGUUUAAUCAAGAGAAAACUAAUUUGCAG